GACGAACGCUGGCGGCGUGCCUAACACAUGCAAGUCGAACGGAAAGGCCCUGCUUUUGUGGGGUGCUCGAGUGGCGAACGGGUGAGUAACACGUGAGUAACCUGCCCUUGACUUUGGGAUAACUUCAGGAAACUGGGGCUAAUACCGGAUAGGAGCUCCUGCUGUAUGGUGGGGGUUGGAAAGUUUCGGCGGUUGGGGAUGGACUCGCGGCUUAUCAGCUUGUUGGUUGGGUAGUGGCUUACCAAGGCUUUGACGGGUAGCCGGGCUGAGAGGGUGACCGGCCAAAUUGCGACGGGACUGCGGCCCAGACUACUACGGGAGGCAGGAGUGGGGAAGAUUGCACAAGGGGCGGAACCCUAAUGCAGCAACGCCGUGUGCGGUAUGACGUCCAUCGGGUUGUAUACCGCUUCCGCCUGUGACGAAGCGUUAGUGACGGUAAUGGGUAAAGAAGCACCGGCUAACUACGUG
rnacentral:rRNA from 1 species